rnacentral:rRNA from 1 species
GCCGUAGCGAAAGCGAGUCUGAAUAGGGCGCAUAAGUAACAGGUCGUAGACCCGAAACCAGGUGAUCUACCCAUGUCCAGGAUGAAGGUAAGGUAAUACUUACUGGAGGUCCGAACCCACGCACGUUGAAAAGUGCGGGGAUGAGGUGUGGGUAGCGGAGAAAUUCCAAUCGAACUUGGAGAUAGCUGGUUCUCUCCGAAAUAGCUUUAGGGCUAGCCUCGAGGUAAAGAGUCAUGGAGGUAGAGCACUGUUUGGACUAGGGGCCCUUCUCGGGUUACCGAAUUCAGAUAAACUCCGAAUGCCAUGUACUUAUACUCGGGAGUCAGACUGCGAGUGAUAAGAUCCGUAGUCGAAAGGGAAACAGCCCAGACCACCAGUUAAGGUCCCCAAAUAUAUGUUAAGUGGAAAAGGAUGUGGGGUUGCUUAGACAACCAGGAUGUUGGCUUAGAAGCAGCCACCAUUGAAAGAGUGCGUAAUAGCUCACUGGUCGAGUGACCCCGCGCCGAAAAUGUACCGGGGCUAAACAUAUUACCGAAACUGUGGAUGAACCUCUUUAGAGGUUCGUGGUAGGAGAGCGUUCUAAGGGCGGUGAAGUCAGACCGGAAGGACUGGUGGAGCGCUUAGAAGUGAGAAUGCCGGUAUGAGUAGCGAAAGAAGGGUGAGAAUCCCUUCCACCGAAUAUCUAAGGUUUCCUGAGGAAGGCUCGUCCGCUCAGGGUUAGUCGGGACCUAAGCCGAGGCCGAUAGGCGUAGGCGAUGGACAACAGGUAGAGAUUCCUGUACCAGUGCUAAUUGUUUAACCGAUGGGGUGACACAGAAGGAUAGGGAAUCGCACGAAUGGAAAUGUGCGUCCAAGCAGUGAGUGUGAGAAGUAGGCAAAUCCGCUUCUCGCGAAGCAUGAGCUGUGAUGGGGAAGGAAAUUAAGUACGGAAGUUCCUGAUUUCACGCUGUCAAGAAAAGCCUCUAGGAAGAGUAGUACUGCCCGUACCGCAAACCGACACAGGUAGAUGAGGAGAGAAUCCUAAGGUGAGCGAGAGAACUCUCGUUAAGGAACUCGGCAAAAUGACCCCGUAACUUCGGGAGAAGGGGUGCUCUAUUAGGGUGCAAGCCCGAGAGAGCCGCAGUGAAUAGGCCCAGGCGACUGUUUAGCAAAAACACAGGUCUCUGCAAAACCGUAAGGUGACGUAUAGGGGCUGACGCCUGCCCGGUGCUGGAAGGUUAAGAGGAGUGCUUAGCUUCGGCGAAGGUACGAAUUGAAGCCCCAGUAAACGGCGGCCGUAACUAUAACGGUCCUAAGGUAGCGAAAUUCCUUGUCGGGUAAGUUCCGACCCGCACGAAAGGCGCAACGAUCUGGGCACUGUCUCAACGAGAGACUCGGUGAAAUUAUAGUACCUGUGAAGAUGCAGGUUACCCGCGACAGGACGGAAAGACCCCGUGGAGCUUUACUGCAACCUGAUAUGGAAUGUUUGUACCGCUUGUACAGGAUAGGUAGGAGCCGAAGAGACGUGUGCGCUAGCAUACGAGGAGGCAAUGGUGGGAUACUACCCUGGCUGUAUGACCAUUCUAACCCGCCACGCUUAGCGCGUGGGGAGACAGUGUCAGGUGGGCAGUUUGACUGGGGCGGUCGCCUCCUAAAGAGUAACGGAGGCGCCCAAAGGUUCCCUCAGAAUGGAUGGAAAUCAUUCGCAGAGUGUAAAGGCACAAGGGAGCUUGACUGCGAGACUGACAAGUCGAGCAGGGACGAAAGUCGGGCUUAGUGAUCCGGUGGUUCCGCAUGGAAGGGCCAUCGCUCAACGGAUAAAAGCUACCCCGGGGAUAACAGGCUUAUCUCCCCCAAGAGUCCACAUCGACGGGGAGGUUUGGCACCUCGAUGUCGGCUCGUCGCAUCCUGGGGCUGUAGUCGGUCCCAAGG